rnacentral:rRNA from 1 species
UUCGACACACUAUCAUUAACUGAAUCCAUAGGUUAAUGAGGCGAACCGGGGGAACUGAAACAUCUAAGUACCCCGAGGAAAAGAAAUCAACCGAGAUUCCCCCAGUAGCGGCGAGCGAACGGGGAGCAGCCCAGAGCCUGAAUCAGUGUGUGUGUUAGUGGAAGCGUCUGGAAAGGCGCGCGAUACAGGGUGACAGCCCCGUACACAAAAAUGCACAUAUUGUGAGCUCGAUGAGUAGGGCGGGACACGUGGUAUCCUGUCUGAAUAUGGGGGGACCAUCCUCCAAGGCUAAAUACUCCUGACUGACCGAUAGUGAACCAGUACCGUGAGGGAAAGGCGAAAAGAACCCCGGCGAGGGGAGUGAAAAAGAACCUGAAACCGU